UACGUAGGGGGCAAGCGUUGUCCGGAAUCAUUGGGCGUAAAGAGCGUGUAGGCGGCCCGGUAAGUCCGCUGUGAAAGUCCAGGGCUCAACCCUGGGAUGCCGGUGGAUACUGUCGGGCUCGAGUCCGGAAGAGGAGUGUGGAAUUCCUGGUGUAGCGGUGAAAUGCGCAGAUAUCAGGAGGAACACCAAUGGCGAAGGCAGCACUCUGGGACGUGACUGACGCUGAGACGCGAAAGCGUGGGUAGCAAACAGG
rnacentral:rRNA from 1 species